GUUUAAUAGAAAAGUGUGUCACAAUUAAAGCGGAACGUUACACGCUGUUUUCAAUAUGUGAUAUUCACUUAUAACUUUUUGAACGCCGCCUUAAGUCAGGCAAAUUCGGUUCAAUUCAGCUGGGUUCUGUCGGUCGCGCGCCAGCCUCCAAGCCGAACCGAUCCAGCUUCAGGGCUUUUGUGUGAAACCAAAAAAUAAAAGUAACAUCCAUACAAAGCAAAGCGGCGAGUCCAAUUAUUAUACGAGGAUAUACAUCAGGUAAAGUAAAAUCUUCAAAAAUAAAACGCACAUUAUUCUAAUUAAAAAAAAUACAAAACAAAACAAAACACCACACACAUUCGCAUUUUCAGAUGAUAUUCCGAGAGUAGCGUGUCACACGAAAAGGGGGAAAAAAAAAAAGAGAGAAAACUCUUGUGGGCGCGACCGACAGGACGCUCGCGAAUCGCGGAAAGGACACGAAUGCUCGUUUUUUUUUCGCAAUCGGUAAUAAUAAUAAUUAAUAAUAAUAAUCAGUUAUAUAUGUAACUUCUUUUUCUUAUCGUGCAUCUAUGUUCGCGGUUGUUAUUUCUUUCUAAAGAAAUCCUUACAGGCUACAAAGUUAUUAUUUACAGUACACAAGACUUUUCCUUGUCGACUUUCACAGUUAUACUCGUUUCUCUUAUGAUACGAGCGCGCGGAUAUACGUAAUACGUAUUGGUGCUCGAACGAACGAUUUCGAGAUUCGAACGAAUUGUUGUGCGCUCUCGAAAAAUUAGUUUUCCGAGAAACAGUUCGAAAAAAAAGAGUUGAAAGUACAACCAGCGCGUUCGGAUAGUUCGAACAAUUCGAACUAUUUGGUCAACUCGUGAAAUGAAUGAAGAUAGGCAAAACUCUAAACAGAAAAAAAAAAAAAAAAAAAAAAAAAAAAAAAAAAAAA